AUCGUCGCUGCUACUGCACUCUCCGGAAUCCGGCGAGCGGUCGUCGACUGGGAGCGGCGCCGUCCAACUCUCGUCCUCAAAAUCCCCCUCCGUCGUCGAGCCCUAAUUCCUCCUUCGUCCAAAAUUCCACCGCCGCUGCGGUUCCCUGGCCGUCAAUUAGCGAAGCCGGCGUCGUCUCGCCUCCUCCUUCGAGUCGUUUCGGUCCCGAUUCAGAUGUCAAAGUAGGCGGGGAGUCGAGCCCUGUUUCUUUUCCGCCUCUGCCGCCAUGGUUCUGCCGCCAUCUCCACCGUUUGUGGAAGAUCGGCGAUUCAGCGCCGUUGUUCCGUUCGCGACGCUGCUGUUGUCACGCAAUUUCCGCCGAGGCAGCAGGAGCUGCCGCCGUCGUCGUCGUC
rnacentral:lncRNA from 1 species